rnacentral:rRNA from 1 species
UACGUAGGUGGCAAGCGUUAUCCGGAUUUAUUGGGCGUAAAGCGAGCGCAGGCGGUCUUUUAAGUCUAAUGUGAAAGCCUUCGGCUCAACCGAAGAAGUGCAUUGGAAACUGGGAGACUUGAGUGCAGAAGAGGACAGUGGAACUCCAUGUGUAGCGGUGAAAUGCGUAGAUAUAUGGAAGAACACCAGUGGCGAAGGCGGCUGUCUGGUCUGUAACUGACGUUGAGGGACGAAGGCCUGGGUAGCAAGAAGG